rnacentral:rRNA from 1 species
UGGAUCCAGACUUUGAUUAUGGCUCAGGACGAACGCUGGCGGCGUGCUUAACACAUGCAAGUCGAACGGAGCACCCUUGAUUGAGGUUUCGGCCAAAUGAUAGGAAUGCUUAGUGGCGGACUGGUGAGUAACGCGUGAGGAACCUGCCUUUCAGAGGGGGACAACAGUUGGAAACGACUGCUAAUACCGCAUGACGCAUUUUGAUCGCAUGGUCGAAAUGCCAAAGAUUUAUCGCUGAAAGAUGGCCUCGCGUCUGAUUAGAUAGUUGGCGGGGUAACGGCCCACCAAGUCGACGAUCAGUAGCCGGACUGAGAGGUUGACCGGCCACAUUGGGACUGAGAUACGGCCCAGACUCCUACGGGAGGCAGCAGUGGGGAAUAUUGGGCAAUGGGCGCAAGCCUGACCCAGCAACGCCGCGUGAAGGAAGAAGGCUUUCGGGUUGUAAACUUCUUUUAAGUGGGAAGAGUAGAAGACGGUACCACUUGAAUAAGCCACGGCUAACUACGUGCCAGCAGCCGCGGUAAUACGUAGGUGGCAAGCGUUGUCCGGAUUUACUGGGUGUAAAGGGCGUGCAGCCGGGCAUGCAAGUCAGAUGUGAAAUCUCAGGGCUUAACCCUGAAACUGCAUUUGAAACUGUAUGUCUUGAGUGCCGGAGAGGUAAUCGGAAUUCCUUGUGUAGCGGUGAAAUGCGUAGAUAUAAGGAAGAACACCAGUGGCGAAGGCGGAUUACUGGACGGUAACUGACGGUGAGGCGCGAAAGCGUGGGGAGCGAACAGGAUUAGAUACCCUGGUAGUCCACGCUGUAAACGAUGGAUACUAGGUGUGCGGGGACUGGCCCCCUGCGUGCCGCAGUUAACACAAUAAGUAUCCCACCUGGGGAGUACGAUCGCAAGGUUGCAACUCAAAUGAAUUGACGGA